AGCAGCAGUGAGCACCGUCCUCCAGCUAGACUCGAGGCGCCACUGGGCCACGUGGCACGCGUAAACGCGUUUUGGCUUUGCUUGCCUGGCCGAUUAGAAUUUAAUAAUAAAUAAUAACGGGCUCUCGGCUCUCCUCCCCCCCCCCACACCUGCCGCAGCCGCACACCACCCCACCGGUCGGUCAUCGGCCAUCGCCUUCGCGUUCGCUUUAUCGGCUCUGGCAUCUUCUCGCCCAGCUCUUCCGCCAGCUCCAUCGCAGUCCCCAUUACUGCACUGCGCUCUGUCGCCUCCUCUCUUCCCCACCUCGCUGCUCCGAUCCAGCAAGAGCUCCAUCCGCGCGCAGGUACUGGUCCGAUCCUUCCACUCUCUGCCCCUCUCGCCCGCCGAUUACUUUCCAGUCCGUUCGCGGGCUCUGCGGGGCCCCCUCAGCAGUCUCAGGGGCUCCGCGCUCGAUCCUGUAUGGAUCAGGUAUCAAGGUCGUCAUCGUUCAUGAUCUGGUGCGCCCCCACGCAUGGAAUCUGGGGUUUGUAGCCGCGGCUUCUCCCUCCGACAUGCAUGCUCUGCUCUUGUUGUCGCGACAAAUUCGAUCACCAUUCGAUCUUAUGGCGACUCUAGCUAGCUUAGUAGUCCGGCCUGCGACGCUGAAUCGCUGAUGCCUACGUAUGCCGUCCUCGCUAGAUCAACGCUGGUACGCGAUCUCAUGAACUUUACAUCGAUUUGAGUAGCUUUUUCAGCAGAAACCAAAGCAGUUGUUUUCAGCACAGCAGCAUAUUAUUUUUUUAUCGCCUUUAGGCUUUAGGUUAGGAAAAUGGAGUAGUUGAGGGAGCACGCCAACUGUGCCUCGCUGGUAUUCUGGACGAAGCUCCAGACGCAAGAGUCAUCUGUUGAUGUUGACUAAGGUGAGUGAUCUAGACGAGACUGACUUGGUGUCCAUGUUUGACUGCAUCCAACUACUCGCAAUCGCAGUAGUGAACCAGCACCACCUACAUACAGCCUCUCUUCUGGGAAAUCCAAAGGCAGGUUAUUAGUUUGACCCAAAGCGCCACACUGAUCAGGAAUCGAUUCGUAUAUAGUGGCCAGCGUGAUCAAGAACUAACACGGAUGCCGUUCUGAAUACAAUAGUACGUACAACCCAUUGUGCUACCGCUACCUGCAAAUUGUAUAGUCUGGCCAGUCUGCUGCACUACUGUAACAUGCUAAAACCACCAUAUAUGUGCAGAUAGAUAUGGCGGCGUUUUUACUAUUUUCCAUCUCUCGUUUUUUGCAGGGAGGUCGUCAGAUGGAGUUCGUGCUCAUCAUCUCGCUGCCGCUGCUCAUACUCAUCAUCAUCGUCGCCGUCGUCCUCUGCAUCAUCUGCCGCUAGGCUCGCUGAACGUCCACAGAGAAGAAGAAGAAGGUUCAGCCCCGUCCGUCUCUGCAGUCUGCACUCUGCUAGCUGUGAUCCUACCAUACCAUGUGUUAGUGCUGAUUUGACAUUGUACGUACAGCAUGACCUGAUAAACCCUCCUCUCUCUCUCUCUCUCUCUCUCUCUCUCUCUCUCUCUCUCUCUCUCUCUCUCUCUCUCUCUUGUCUGCAUUGCCGUACGUGAGAUUAAUCCGCUGUAGCUCUCUAUACGUUGUUUCUUUUCUUCAUCUCUCUUUUCCUAAAAGAAAAAAAAAAAGAAACGGCCGUUUGUGCAGAGCAACAAGCAAACACAAGGAGAAGCCGCUUUCCGCGUGUGAUCAACUGCUGAUGCUCCAGUCAUGCAACAACGCGUUGCCGACACUUUUGCAGUAGUGUACCGAGCUAUAGGCUGCCACAUGGCGUGAUACAGCCAGAGCCAGGCACAUACGGCACAUGGCUCUUGAUAUAUAUGACGGCUAUGGAUCUGGAACUGAAGAUUAAACGGGGGAACAUCCAUGUCAAGGCACUCGCCUUUCGGGGUCCAAUGUGCUAACAGCGAGCACCUAAACAUAUUAUAUAUAGAGAUCCAAAUAUGUCACCCGCUAAAAAGGCACUUUUUUAUGUGCUCCUUAUAUAUGACCUUAUAAAUAGAGCAUGUCUAGGUUUUGGGUGAGCAUUAUGGCUUCCUAACUUGAUAUACAACCUAGUAAACCCAAAAAUAUCUUUGGCUCACUUCUAAUGGUAGUGAUUCAUCCAUAAAGAGAUUGAAAGUGAUAUCUAGUGAUUCACAUUGAAUUGUUGCAUUUAGUAGUACUAGUGAUCAUAUUGAGUCGUGUGGUUCAUGUUACUCCUGGUGGUUGUUGCUACCUAAAUGGCUUCGAGGCACCAGAUGAUUGUUGAGUGGCUUUGGUGAUUAUUGAGAGCACCUAGAGGGAGGUGAAUAUGUGAUCCUGCAAAAUAGUCACUAAAAACACAAACUUGGUCUAGAAAUGAGAGUUCACACAAAGGAAUUUUGUUUCUUUGAGCUCCAUGACACCAGAGACCUCCCUAAAAAAUGACAUGUCCCCGAUAUGCUCUGCCUAUCUACCUUGCACCCGACAUAAUCGAAAUCCGAAUAUCCAGUUAGGUCCAAGGUAGACCCCUUAGGAUACCAUAGCUUGAAGUGAGGCGUAUGAACGAACUAGCUAGAUAGCUUAGAAUUCGCUUCACUGCCACAAUGUGACAUUCCUUGGGGUCGGAUUGACAUCUAGCACAUAAACAUAUGGAAAGCACAAUAUCCAGUCUACUUGCACAUAAAUAAAGAAACCUAUCAUAAACUGGUAUACCUUUUGAUCUACGGACUUACCUCCCGCGUUGAGAUCCAAGUGUCCAUUCAUUCCCAUCGGCGUCUUGAUGGGCUUUGCAUCCUUCAUCCCGAACUUCUUAAGGAUGCCUUAUGUAUACUUCGUUUGGGAGAUGAAGAUGCCUUAUUUAAGCUAUUUACUUGAAAGUCGAGGAAGUAGGUCAGCUCACCCAUCAUCGACAUCUCGAAUUUCUGCAUCAUCGCCUUGCUAAACUCCUCAUAAAACUUGAUUAGUAGAACCAAAUAGUAUAUCAUCGACAUAUAUUUAGCAUAUACACAAGUCACCAUUAUAAGUCUUAGUGAAAAGAGUUGGAUCAACUUUCUCGACUUUAAAAGCAUUUGAAAUGAGAAAAUAUCUAAGUCACCCAUACCAUGCUCACCGAUGGAGAACCGAUCUCUGCCCAAGGGAACGAGGGCCGACGGCGGACCCUGCCUCGACAUCGGCCGGGAAAGCAACAUGGUCAGGGUGGUGCCCACCCGACCAACUUUGUUUGAAGGCCCCAACACCGCAUCGGAGGCCCUCAGCGCCCUCAGCCUCACACCGCAUGAGCAACAUGGAGGUCCCAUGGUUGAAGUCGGAAAGGUCGCUUGACGCGAUGCUUCCGGCGAAGCAUGUAAAGCCAAGCACGAGGGAGGCUCAUUGUGGCCAAGGCAUGCUGCGUGCCCCACGAAUCCUAUCAUUGUCAGCGAACAAUAUUCAAACGAUCAACCGUGUUCUGGUUUCGAGAUCGUUUAAGGGAAAAGUCACUCUCAAGGCGCUGGUAGGCACAGGCGAGUGUGAGGAGUCUCAUAUGACACAAGGAGAGAAAGGCCCUCUUUCUUCUCCGGUAGUCAUCACGAAGGCGAGGGCCACCUUGGCUCCCCCAGGUAGAGCACUCUCGAGUAGGGCUGCACCAAGCUCACAAGCGGAAGGCUGUUGAGCCUUCACCGUGCCGGCAAAGUCUGAAUCGCUCCAAGCGUCGCAAUAGCCUUUGCUCAACUCCUUCAGCUUGAUCCCCCUUCAUAGUGAGACAUUACGACGGCGAAAGCCUGGCAGAUCCCAUGGCAGAAGGAUUCCUUCUCGAGCUCCUAGAACCAACCGACGAGGCCCUCAAGGUGGGAGACGACCGAUUUUGACUCAGGCGUGGGAAGCACCCUGAAGCGUCCCUGCAUCGCAUUCACCACCUCCGAUAAGAGAAGCUUCUCCCUCUCCGGUUCCUCCGAGCGGUGCUACAUCACGAGGAAGUCCCUUCGGUGGCGUCAGAUUUCCCUUGCAUGUCUGAAUGAACAAAAUAUAAGCCGUAAGAAGAAGGGAGUUGACGACGAAUGUCUCACCCCAGGAGAAAUCAUUACAAGAGGCUACCCUAUAGAGAGGUCAUGAGCUUCACCUCUUUCUUGGUUCGGCCAUUCAACUCUUCUUCCAGGGCCACGACCCCAGGCCUUGGCAACCGCUUUUCCUCACUCCAGGAUGCGAAGAUGAGAGUUCGCCUUUGCUCUUUCAAGGCAGGCGAGGGUCGCCGACUACAUGUCCCUACUCGUCGCACCGACCAGGUUUUCGUAAGCAUUCUAGAUCAACGUAGCCACGAGCGCGGGCUUCGGUGGCCUCGCUUCUCGCUACCAGAAUAUCGCUAGUGGAACGCUCCCUUGCCACAUUUUGGUCCAGUAGGAGGCGGAGCCUGUCUGCCAGCAUCCCCGCGAACGAUUGAAAACGUGAAAGUCGGAUGACAGGGGAUUAGCAGGAGGAACGUUUCCCGCACCCAGCUACCCACACACGGCUUACCACAAGUUUUCGGUACGUGGUUGAAAGUUGAUCGAGGUUGUCUCACAACGCCCUCUCACACGCAUCGCCCUCCUCACACAAAUCUCUGCACAGGGCUAGGGGGUCGUUGCCCUCAGUAGAGAGAUCUAGAGCAAGUCGGACGCAGCUCGAUCAUCAAGCCCCGACGACACAAUCUGAGGCUCCCCGCGAGUAAGGAGAGACAAUCUCCCCCUUCGGUCUCCAUCGUGCCGGCGAGGUCGGCUAAACAGAGGGAGAGAAAAUAGAAAGGUAAAGCUCGAUCGCCCUCGUGCUAAGCCCAAGUAGCUCGGGGGUGCCAAGCGAAACAAACCUAGGGUCUUGACCCUAGGGGCGCCUUGCGGAAACAUUGGUAGGGAAGAACUUGACGGCACCACCGCACUCCCUGACGGUGGGCACUAUCCUCCUCUUGGAAAUCACCUUUCGCACGCACGAUAGUAAGGCGAUAGGCUGGGGACUGUUAAAAAAGAGAAAAAUGAAGGAGACCAGGAGUUAUGACGACAUAAGAAAUCAAAUCGCUGGGACCGAUAAGUCCCCGCCCGACUGAUCACGCGCCCACGAACCUCUGCCCCACGGAAGGCACCGUGCCUCUGGGGCAUCUGGGCGGAGCGAUGGUCCCACUGCCUGCUUCAGAAGUAGGAGCAGACAUCUCCAGAGGUGCGCCAGCUAGAGUCGCCGACGGACCCGAGGCAGUCAAGCUCCCCGUGCAAGCAGCCCCGGAUGGACGGUCGACCAGAGGAUCGGCGGGUAAGGAAACGAGUGCCAUCGAAGCCAUCGACCCAAAGAAUAGGGCGGGGAGUUCCGGGAAGUCGUCUUCCUCCAUGAUUGGGAAGUCGCUUGUCGCCCCGCCUAAAAAGGCCGAGACGGAAUCCGGUGUCGAUGCAGCAAGGGACGUAUCCGGAAUGGCCCAGAAUUCGGAGCCUGCACUCGCGUCAUCAUCCUCGUCCUCGUCGGCCGAGUCAGUCUCGGCACCACGGUCCCUGUGCAUCUGAUGUGCGGUCCUCCUACGUUUCUUCUCCACCCUGUCUUUCUUGUCCUUCUGCUGCUGCUUCGCCCACGCGCGAGCUACCUCCUCCACCGUGCUCUUCGGCAGUGGAACGAGGUCAUAUCACAACACUAGAGAAGAGGGCUGGUGGAAGGGGGAAGGUGGGGUCGGAGGUUGCGAAACUAAAAAUGGAAGAGAGGGAGGGUGGAACCUGACAAACUGGCUACCUAAGCAUAUGAGGACUGGGGCCUUUAGUGCCCUAGGACCUCAAAGGUUGAAAUAUAAUGUCCCCAAAGCGCCUUGUUUCGUGGGGUACUAGCUAGAGAAUAAGUCCUCGAGGUACUACUUAACCUUUCAAACUAAGAUCUCCUUCUUGGGUACUACUUGACCCUCCAAAUCGGCGUCUCCUUUCUUAUACCUUUGUGUAGUAGCACUAAAAUCGCAUCUCAUGUAUUUAAUUUUAGUUCUGCUAAGCUUAAAACCUUUAAACUCUAAAGUCCCCUACAAGAACUCUAAUUUAUAGUUACUCAUAUUAGGUUUUCAUCAAGUACCACUUUAUCAUCCGAAAUUAUAUACCCCUUUGACCUCAUCUAUCACCAAGACAAAAAGAUAAGGGCUCAAAACUGAUCUUUGAUAUAGUCUUACUCUAAUACGAAAGUCAUCAGUGUCCCAUCACUUGUUGAAUAUUGGUCACAAUAUUAUUAAUGAGUUCAACAUACUUCAUUAAAACUUUAUGAUUAUCUAAAGCCCACUACAUAACAUUUUUUAGUAUUUUGUCAUAAGCUCUCUCUAAAUUGAUGAAAAUCAUACAUAUAGGUCCUUGUCCCUAUACCUCAUUGCUUAUCUUACUAAGGGCAUGUUUUUAUAAUUCCAAACAAACACCCCUAAGACUAUCUCCAGCAGCUUACCCAUCCUAAUACCUAUAUUUAAACUCAACUCUACGAAUAAUACAGUCUAUAAUACAAUACAUUGUUUUAGAUGAUCACAUAGGUGAACUAUUGGACACGGUCUAACUCUCCAUACACCUCCACCACUUAUCUUAUUAAGAAAAUGACUUCUAUGGUUUAUCUUUCAAGCAUAAAACCAAAUUAGUUUAUAUAGAUCCUUAUUAUUUCUCUUAGACGAUAUUCGAUAGCUCUCUCUCAUAACAUUAUAGUAUGCCUCGUUAACUUAAUUGCCCAGUAAUAAAAUGCUGCUCAUGAAUUACAAAAGCCCACCAGGCCACAACAUAUGAAACGGCACAUCUGUCUAGCUACUGUUCUUUACACGGAGAGGUCGAGAGAUGUCAAACCUAUCCAGCAACCGAAAACUAUUUAUGCUCAAAAGGGCCUCCUUCCACAUAUCAGCUAUUCAGCUAUCGUCACUUUUGACACCAACAUCUGAACAAACCAUUGGAUAAGAUCGGUUCCCUGUCCUAGUUCUUUCAGGAACUUUCCACGCCAUCAUCUGACGUUGGAAGGUUGGAGAUCAACAAGCCAAGGAUGCAGGACUGAAAUAACAAACUGGUUUCAAGCCUGUAAACAAAAUGGACGGAAUAGGUCAAUCCCAAAAGGUUACUGGAGAUGUUUGAGAGGCUGUCCGAUGUUGCAUUACUCAAGCACUAAGCAAAUUUGGAGCAAACUAAGACGCCGAUUUGCUGUUCUAUGGUAAAAUGGACUGCAAGCUUAAUAUAUAAAAAAAGAACGGACACAGUUUUCUCAGCCCCUCCUGUUGACCUCUUCUAAAGAAGACAAUGUAGAAGAACAGAACACAGUGACUUUAGCAUUAAGGUGAAAACAGGCAAUGCAACAUGCUCUCGGUUACUGCUCGACUGAUGUUAUACUCAUUCAAGUAACGGAAUAAUGUUGGGUACACCACGGAUUUGUGAUGUUUGAUUAUUUAAAUACCAACAUGACUCCAUCAUAGAAGUAAGCAUGAAAGUUAAAAUAUAUGUUAACAAUGGGUUCUGCCUGUUAUCCAACCUAAGAAUGCAACAGACCAAACAUCGAACUUUGCAAAGGAGUUUUUUUCUCCGAAUCAUCAAACAGAAUUUGAUUAGAAACAUAAAAAAAAAAUUGAGGAUAGAGAGGAAAAUCAACUUAUCUUACAACAGCAUAAUGCAUACCAAAUGCAAGAAUAACGACCGGGAGCAUAUGAAGCACUCAUAAGAUCAAACACUUCUCUUCAAAACAUGAAUAUAACAUAAACAUGUUUAUGCCUCCACAGUUUAGACAAACAAACCCCAUGUUUAGCAGGAUAACUUGAUAAAUAACUUAACAAAUCAGUUACCGAUAAAAAGAAGAUACAUAAAUGAGCAGGGUUCAAUAAUUGUUCUCCUAAAAAGGGUUCAAUAAUUGCAGUCUGAAGUUGAAACGAAGAAAGCAAUCCUAAUCCACCAACCGUACCAUCCCAAAAGUAUCACCAUCUGAUGUAUACACUGCAUCUAUAUCCAAAUCCGAGGGACCCCCAAAUAUAUAUCAGAUAUGUUCAGUCUUACCUUUUUUAUUCAACAAGUGCUCAACAAGCAAGGUACCAAACCUAAAAUGAAUUAUCCGUAAAGAAGAAAGUUAAAUUGGACUAAAGCACCAAACCAAUCGCCACCAAAAGAAUCUGGAAAAAAGUAGCACACCCUCCGUUCCAAAUUAUAGUUAUAAAUUUAUAGGUCGUUUUAGCUUACAUUGAUUUGGCUAUGCAUCUAGAUAUAUGAUAGGUAUAAAUAUAUAAUAAAAGUUAUGCAUCUAGAAAAGCUCAAACGACCUAUAAACAAAAGAACAGACGGAGUAAAAAAUCGCUUUUGAGAUGAACGAACUAGUGCUGAUGUGAUACAUGAGUAAAAGAUCAAAAAAUGUGCGGAUCGGAGUUAGCACCCAACAUGCUAAUUGUCAAGGAUAACUAAAUUCCCUAUUCUCAACGUAGCAUUUCGGCAAUCAGCAUCUCGAGCACCUGCCGGAGCCUAGCGGGCACCAGGCAGCAAGCAAUAGCGUAAUCAGGAAUUCCUCGCUCUCCGAUAAUUAACAUUCACUGAAAGCACCAGAGCUCAUGAGAGACAAGAUGUGAAUUGCCUUACAUCCGGCCGCGGGCGCCGUCCCCUUAGUGCUUCUUGCUCCGCGCGGGCUGCCUGGACCCGUCCGUGGCGAGCCUGUAGAUCCAGUAACCCUGCAACGGGAAGCUAAAUUCAUAACCCCAAUCUUAUCCGGCAGGUGGCAAUAACAGGAGAGCUAGGGGAGGAGGACGCACGAGGGCGAGGACGUGGGCGGCGAUGAGGAGGACGACGAGGAGCGGGAGGAGGUCAACGAUCCAGGGGCGGAGCGCUGGCACGGAUGUGGCGGUGGCGUCGCGCGCCAUGGCGACGCGACGGGAGAAGGAGAACGCGCCGGGGUGGCGGAGGAAGGAAGAAAGGGGGUCGGCCGCCGGGUCGCCCGAGCCCAUCCGCGUGGUGGUCCGGAACACCAGUUUCUCGCGGGACGCUUGCUCAGUCCUCUCUCGGCCUCAGGCUUCCUCGCGGCGUGGGCUGGGCUGCCUGCGUUUCUGAGCCGAUUACUCUGCGCGUGCACGAGGGUCGGGGGGCAAUGGGGAGUGGAUCACGGCACGGACGCGGUAGUUGCGCCCGGUGCGGUGCCGCUGUCUUCUGGUGCACCUAAACCGGGCCGCACGGCACUGGGCCCAGACCGCGCGGAUUUGUAGUCCCGCGUCACGUCCCGUCCGCCGCCGCUCGCCUCAACCAGAAAGUGUGUCGUGCAAAAAAAAUUUAAAAAAAACCCCGAGAAUCCGAGAUGUCUGAUUAUCCCAAACUUGUGAUCUAAAUAAUCCCGAGAAGUCUAAUUAUCCUAAACUUUUGACCCAAUUUUUGAUGUCAAUUCAGGGACGGACUGAAAAAGCAAUAAGAAAAAAAUGACUUUCAUAUGUGUAUGAGGUGGUGGACUUCGAAAUCUAUGAGCGGGUUGCUUAGGUUGUCUCCAACGACGUUCUCUAAAUUUUAUCCCCUAAAAAAAUAUUCUCUGUACUUUACAGCACCCUCUAAAAGAUUCUGUCUUCUAUAUCUUCCUCAUCUCCAACAAUAUCCUCUAAAUUUGAUCCUCUAUAUCAACAGUGAUAACUAAAUUCCUAAUUCAAUUUAGUUUGUAUCAACAUUGCAUUGUCUGUCAACUGUAAAAUAUUAUGUAUGUAUCCAGAUUAAAUUUAAAUUAAGUAUUUAAAAUUCGAAAUUAGUGGUCUGGUAAAUUAAUUAAGAUAACACAAUAUAGGAAAUUGCAUUGUCUAGCUAAACUUUGUAUUAUUUUUUUUCUAUCGGAUGUAUAGGAAAACAAAAUAGGAAAGUUUUCUAAAUAAACUUUGUAUUGCACAUAUUUUUUAUAUCAAACUAUCGAACGUACACGAAAACCAAACAGGCAACACUUCUUGACCAGUGCGCGCGACCGUACGUAAGCAACAGUGUAUAGCGGAUUAGCGGGUGGCCGUGGAACUCUACAUUUAGUGUCUGUGGAAGCGUGUGCUAAAUUUACAGGAGUCUAUAGCAGUCCUUGCUGGAGACGUACCGGACGAAAAUAUCCGCUAUAUGUAGCGAACAGGCCGCUUUAGCGGAUCUGCUGGAGCCAGCCUUAUAAUUUAUCUGACUUAUCUGGUACUCGGAUACGAUCCUGCAAAAAAGAGUAGAGGGGUCGAGGUGACCGAAUUUUUUGUAUUUUGGCCAUUUUUUGGAAAAAAAACACAUUUAGACCCUAGAAAAUUUUAAUUACAUUUUUGGACCCUUUCCUCGGCGCCAUAGCCUAUGCGCGCCGAGGUAACACAGCUCGGCGCCAUAGGUUAUGGCGCCGAGGUACGUGCUGCGUUGGCACAAACUGGACGCCGUGGCGUUGACGUGGCACUGAGCUCGGCGCCACAGAUCUUGGCGCCGAGCUCGGUUGUGUUAUCAACAGUUUUGUUGCAAAGAAAUGGCACCAAGCCAUCUAGCUCAGUUGGUGGAGCACAAGGUUUUAAACCAUGAAGUUGGGGGUUCGAGCCCUAUAACUUGCCUAGAUUUUUUUUUAUCUUUUAAAUAACUCGCCCAGAUUUUUUUAAACCAGUCUCCUCAAAUAAUGUAAAGUUGGGGUUCGAAUUGGGGAAAAAAAUAACACCCAACGGCUGUUAAUAUUGUAAAUGGAUCGGAGACGAAGGUGCCAAAGGUGUGUGUAUCAUCUGGAUCGACAGACGACGACGACCACUGGUCUGAUUGUUUCAGCACUUUAAUCAUGUCCAAAUGUUAUAUAUGCCUUGCAUUAUUGCAUCCAACCUUUUGCGUCAUAUGCCACGCUGGAAAAGCAUCUUGGGGAUAUUAUUUUUUAAAGAAAAAUUAGGACUAGCUAGCAGCUAGCGUCGUGUAUUGGCUGGACAUGUUUGAAUCCUUUUGGAGUUCCUUAAUUAGGUUAUCCUGCGCCUGUAGCUAGCAAAUAAUACUCACGCCUGAUCGACAAUAUUCCUUGCUAUACACUCACACACAUGUGCUAUACGUAAUUAUGUAGCAAAAAACCCGGGUAACGAGAUCAUCAACAGGCUGAAUAAAACCCGGGUAGAACGCCGGGCGCCAGACUUGAAAGGUGCUUAAUUACUAACACACAGAUACGCUGAUCUGCCCAUGCACGUACGCCGUGCAUAUCAUGCUUAAUUAUUAUCAGUUGAUUAAUAAUCUUUCUCCCCUCGCGCUCGUGUGCAGCCGAGAAAGAGGCAUCAAAUGCAGCAGAAAAGGCCGAGAGGAAGAUGCAGCUGAAAGAGAAGAUAUACUCAGUUAACAUUGCUGACAGCGCGGCCAUGCAUCUAACGACGGUCAUCACUGAUUGGAUUGGCAGAAACGGAAGGAGGAGAUGGAAAGGCUGGAGAAGGAGAAAUGGGCGGAGAUACGGAGCUACAAGGGCCUCAUGGUGGCCGAGAAGAUGACGUCCAACAGCCAGAUUUUAAAAAAAUGAGUUAUUUAAAAGAUAAAAAAAUCUAGAUGAGUGUAGGGCUCGAACCCCCAAACCUCGUGGUUUAAAACCUUG
rnacentral:lncRNA from 1 species